rnacentral:misc_RNA from 1 species
UGAGAACCAUGAGGUAUUGGGUUCGAAUCCUAGCGGAGACAAAAACAUUUAGCGAUUUCUUCUCAUUUGUCCAAUCAUUGGUGGACAGGGUUAGCAGGUACCCCAUGGAAUUAGUUGAGGUAUGUGUGUUAGUUGACCCAAACACCAUGAAAGUUUCUUGUUAGAUCAAGACUGUGUUCUAAACAUAAGAUUUUAGCAUGGCGGUCAAUCAAUG